AUUGAACGCUGGCGGCAGGCUUAACACAUGCAAGUCGAGCGGAGCGAGGGUGCUUGCACCUUAGCUUAGCGGCGGACGGGUGAGUAAUGCUUAGGAAUCUGCCUAUUAGUGGGGGACAACAUUCCGAAAGGAGUGCUAAUACCGCAUACGCCCUACGGGGGAAAGCAGGGGAUCUUCGGACCUUGCGCUAAUAGAUGAGCCUAAGUCGGAUUAGCUAGUUGGUAGGGUAAAGGCCUACCAAGGCGACGAUCUGUAGCGGGUCUGAGAGGAUGAUCCGCCACACUGGGACUGAGACACGGCCCAGACUCCUACGGGAGGCAGCAGUGGGGAGUAUUGGACAAUGGGCGGAAGCCUGACCCAGCCAUGCCGCGUGUGUGAAGAAGGCCUUUUGGUUGUAAAGCACUUUAAGCGAGGAGGAGGCUACUUAGAUUAAUACUCUGGGAUAGUGGACGUUACUCGCAGAAUAAGCACCGGCUAACUCUGUGCCAGCCGCCGCGGUAACAC
rnacentral:rRNA from 1 species